CUGCAAUGCGCCAAGCGGACGCGGGCGCGGCUCGUAGGGGCUGGGCCGGCUAGGCCGGCGGGGCCCCGGGGCCUCGGCGGCGUGCUUGCACUGUCCUGUCCGCGAGCACGCCAAGGAGGCCCCGAGCUCGAGGGAAAUUCAGCAGGUUUCGGAGCUUACUGUCACGGUGUCACUCAUCACUGUUGCUGCGGGUGACGAAGGAUGUUUGACGUGCACGGAGCGCUUACGGAGUCGGAGCUGCGUGGGGCCACAAGUCACAAGAACGAUUCCGGACGCGAAGCGUGAAGCUGCCUCGACGCUGCCGCAAUGCCGUCACCACGGAGACUGCGCCGGCCGCCGGCUCCCACUGCUGUUGAUUGUUGGUGACUGCGGUCAACCCCUAGAGAUAUAUUCCCUGUAGGGGCCUAGGUUUGGCCGAUAGACGACACUCUUCGGUUUGCCUCUUUCAGUAUGCUGGGUCAACGUCAAGACGCCAAAGACCUCGCACUACCACCGGAAGGAAAUAAAGAUAACUGUCUCGA